rnacentral:rRNA from 1 species
CCUACGGGGGGCAGCAGUAGGGAAUAUUGCGCAAUGGGCGAAAGCCUGAAGCAGCAACGCCGCGUGAGGGAUGAAGGUUUUCGGAUUGUAAACCCCUGUUGUUAGAGAAGAAAAUGACGGUACCUAAAGAGUAAGCACCGUCUAACUCCGUUCCAGCAGCCGCGGUAAUACGGAGGGUGCAACCGUUACGCGGAAUCACUGGGCGUAAAGAGUGCGUAGGCGGGAUGGCAAGUCAGAUGGUAAAUGCUGUGGCUUAACCAUAGAACUGCAUUUGAAACUGUUAAUCUAGAGUGCGGUAGAGGUAGGUGGAAUUCGUGGUGUAGCGGUGAAAUGCGUAGAUAUCAGGAGGAACACCGGUUGCGAAGGCGGUUUGCUAGAACGUAACUGACGCUGAGGCGCGAAAGCGUGGGGAGCAAACAGGAUUAGAUACCCCGGUAGUC